rnacentral:rRNA from 1 species
UACGUAGGGGGCAAGCGUUGUCCGGAAUCAUUGGGCGUAAAGCGCGUGUAGGCGGCCUUGUAAGUCCGUUCUGAAAGCCCGGGGCUCAACCCCGGGAGGCGGAUGGAUACUGCCGGGCUAGAGGGUGGUAGAGGCGAGUGGAAUUCCCGGUGUAGCGGUGAAAUGCGCAGAUAUCGGGAGGAACACCAGUAGCGAAUGCGGCUCGCUGGGCCACACCUGACGCUGAGACGCGAAAGCUAGGGGAGCAAACAGG